CGGACCGGCGCACGGGUGAGUAACGCGUAUGCAACUUACCUGUCAGAGGGGGAUAACCCGGCGAAAGUCGGACUAAUACCGCAUGAAGCAGGGGCCCCGCAUGGGGAUAUUUGCUAAAGAUUCAUCGCUGAUAGAUAGGCAUGCGUUCCAUUAGGCAGUUGGCGGGGUAACGGCCCACCAAACCGACGAUGGAUAGGGGUUCUGAGAGGAAGGUCCCCCACAUUGGUACUGAGACACGGACCAA
rnacentral:rRNA from 1 species